rnacentral:rRNA from 1 species
UCGCACCUAACCGAUUGAAUGGUCCGGUGAACACUUUGGAUUUUAGGCGAAUGAACUGUAAAAGGGGAGUUCGUUUGGGAGAAGUCGUGUAAAUCUUAUCAUUUAGAGGAAGGUGAAGUCGUAACAAGGUUUCCGUAGGUGAACCUGCGGAAGGAUCAUUUGAGAGUAUUGUGAGGUUAGGGAAGUGAGCGAGAGCGAGCUGACCUGAUUGAGUUUUGGAGCUUAGUGAGAGUGAUUGGUUAGUGAGAAGUAUGAAAACUAUCCACGAUGGAUAUCUUGGCUCUUGAAACGAUGAAGAACGCAGCGAAAUGCGAUAGGUAAUGCGAAUUGCAGAACUCUGUGAGUCAUCGAAUCUUUGAACGCACAUUGCACUUCCUUUGGGAGUAUACUUGUUUGAGUAUUGUGAAGUGAAUCUAACAUUGGUUGAAGUGGUAGUUGAAAGACUACUGAAGGGUGUGUUGAGUAUGAGUUGGAUGGAUUCCAAAGUCAUACUGAGCACUUUUCAGCUUCACACGUUCAAUCUCAAAUCAAGUAAGAAGACCUGCUGAAGGACG